GACAGAGGCCUCAAGCGUUAGGCGGAAUCACUGGGCUUAAAGCGUGUGUAGGCGGACGCCUAAGUGUCUUGUGAAAUCCCCCGGCUCACCCGGGGAACUGCUGGGCAUACUGGGCGUCUUGGGCCAACUAGGGGCAACUGGAACAAGCGGUGGAGCGGUGAAAUGCGCAGAUAUCGGGAGGAACACCGGUGGCGAAGGCGGUUCUCUGGGCCUUACCUGACGCUGAGGAGCGAAAGCGUGGGGAGCGAACAGG
rnacentral:rRNA from 1 species